rnacentral:lncRNA from 1 species
CUCUCGCCGGCGGGCCGGCUUUCUACGCGGGGGCAGCGAGGCUGGCUCAGCACCCCGGGCCUCCUCUUGCAACCCUCGGGAAUGGCCGGCCGCCCCACUGAAAGCGCUGGGGAACCGAGAGGUGUCUUAGAAAGCUGCAUGAGUGGCAGAACGGUGGCUACUAUGACAGAGAGGCCGCCGUGGGCGAAGAGGGAGGUAUCCUGUCCUGCCUCGUGCUAGCCGCUGGCUUCCUCAGUGGGCUCUCCCUGAAGGAGGAUUUCCGCUUCACCUAUGCUUUAGGAUUCCAUCUCCAGUCAGUGCCUGCAAGACGAUCCUCACGUGCGAAACUGAGGAGUCUGAGGCAGGGCAGCUGGAGUGGAGAUACCUGGCUUCUCUUCCUCCUGCUGUCCCACGGUUUUGUGGCCUUAAGCCUCUUCGCCAUGAGCGCUGCUUUUAGAUGAAAAGCAUCAAUCUCCUUAGCGAACGAGAACGUGUUCCACCUGAACCACAGUCCAUUGCCGCGGCGAUUUUCAUUUCAGUAUUCGUGGGAUGUGAGAUUACCAUGAAAGUAGCUUUUGUUGCCAUUUAUUUCCAUGUGCCUUUCAUGAAACGUGUUAUUAAUCACCUGUGGCUAUUCUACGUUAGUUUCUUACUAUCGUUCUGGACCUUUCAACUUCUGAAUUUUAAAAAGUUAUAUGCGUGUGUGUGUGUGUACACACACUCAUAUGUAUAUGUUUUCUCUUCUUAGCUGUAGUAACCUGGAGGCAUAAAAGUGAAAAGCAAAGUAUUAAAAGAUGUAUAUCAGUGUUUAUACACAAAUUUCAAAGUCACUUUGAUAGGUUUUUUUUUGGUUUUGGUUUUGGUUUUUUUUGAUCCGGAGUCUCGCUCUGUCGCCAGGCUCCAGUGCAGUGGCGCGAUCUCGGCUCACUUGCAACCUCUGCCUCCCAGGUUCAAGCGAUUCUCCUGCGUCAGCCUCCCGAGUAGCUGGAACUACAGGCGCGUGCCACGACACCCAGCUAAUUUUUGUAUUAUUAGUAGAGACGGGGUUUCACCAUGUUGGCCAGGAUAGUCUCGAUCAAGAUCUUGACCUCGUGACCCGCCCGCCUUGGCCUCCCAAAGUGCUGGGAUUACAGGUGUGAGCCACCGUGCCUGGCCGAUUAUGAGUUUUUUAUUGUUCCGUUGGAACAUGAAAUUACCCAUCCUCUGAAGAUUCACGUGCUUAUGUAUUUCAUUUUAAAUAAUGGGGCCUAAAAGUAGAUGAUGGAUGGAAUUGAAGUGGGUAAAAUAAAUUAAUGGCUUUUUUGCUUUUGUUUUUGUUUUUAGUAUGUGUAUUGCUGGUAUUUUUGACAGUAAUUAAAAAUUUAAGCCAGGUCAUGAACUCAUUCCCUAUCAUUGUCACCUUAGAUCCUGGUGGCCAACGGGUUGUUAACUAGUUUGAAAUGAGAGAUAAAGAUAAGAAAGUAUGUCCAAGAGAAUGAUUUCCGUUAUCUCAAACUAAACAUGAAGAGCAAAUAGUUGGUUAUAUUGUUAUCUUCCUAACCUAUCUCUAUUCUCUGCAACACACUCUAAAUGAUUAGAAAAUAUCUUGAGCUUAUCGUCUGUCUUACAUCUAUCUUAGACGUAAGGUCUAAACCUGCCCACUAACAGGUUGUGACCCUAAACAAAUUUGGGCCUUUUCCUUCAUCCUUUAAAUAAGAUGGUAGACUAAAUAAGUACCUUUUAAGUAUAGUGGUAGACUAAAUAAGCACUCCUUUAAUUAGAAUAUUCUGUAAUUAUUCAUGGAAGAAAACUGGCACUUUAUUUCACAAAUCAAUAAUAAGAGGACAAGAGACUAACUUUCUGCAUUCAUAAAAGGGGUGAUGGUUAAAUUCAUUAAAAUUUAAGUGGGAAGGGUGGAUAUGAAUUAAAUUUUCUAAAGCAGCAGUCCCCAACAUUUUUGGCACCAGGGAUCUGUUUUGUGGAAGACAAUUUUUCCAUGGAUGGAGAUGGGGAGGGUUGAUGGUUUCGGGAUGAAGCUGUUCUAGAAAACUGCAGAUCAUAAGGUAUUAGAUUCUGAUAAGAAGCCACAACCUAAAUCCCACGCAUCCGCAGUUCACAAUAGGGUUCAUGCUCCUAUGACAAUCUAAUGCAGCCACUGAUCUGACAGGAGGCGGAGCUCAGGCAGUAAUGGUUACUGCCUGCUGUGUGGCCUGGUUCCUAAUAGGCCACAGAUGGGUACCUGUCCAUGGCCCAGAGUUUGGGGACCCCUGUUCUAAAGUAUAUGGAGGUUUAUUAACAUUCAUUAUGUUUUACUGACUGUAAGUAUUAAAAUUCCUAAAAAAUAAUAAUGGAACUAAAUUAUAAUGCUUGUCUUUCAACCGUUUUUCUUAAGUGUAUUCAUCUUUCUCAAAUUCAGCAACCUUUUACAAACCUUACAAAGGAAAAACGCAGUGACUUUACUGUCUAGAGUGAACUUUUACUGAUGGUUAUUGAAUGAAUAUUAUAAUAUGUACACACUAUUACUCUUGUUACAGUGUGACAUUCUUCAGAAUUCAUCCUGGAAUCAAUAUUAUGCCAAAGAAAAUUUUCUGAAAGACAGUCUUGCUGUGUCAGCCAGGCUGGAAUGCAGUGGCACCAUCUCAGUUCACUGCAACUUCUGUCUCCUGGGCUCAAGUAAUUCUCCUGCCUCAGCCUCCCGAGUAGCUGGGAUUACAGCUACACAGAUCAUACCACUGCAACUCAGCCAACCAGCACAUCGGACAGUGGGAGGAGGAAUUCUUGGCUAAGAGUACUGAGAGAUGGGGUUUCACCAUGUUAACCAGGAUUGUCUCAAUCUCCUGACCGCGUGAUCCACCUGCCUCAGCCUCCCAAAGUGCUGGGAUUACAGGCGUGAGCCACCAUGCCUGGCCAAAAUUCUGUAUGUCUUUCUAAUCUCACUUCCUAAUGGAGAUAAAAUAGAUCUCAGGCUUAUGUAUUUUUCUAGAACAUUAAAAUCUUGUUUUUUGUGUAUUUAUUAUUAAGUUUACCUUCUAUUGUGGAAAACUCUAUUGAUUCUUCAUUUAAAAUAGUAAUAUAAAUUUUAUUUUCAAGGAAUGCAUUUAGGAAACUAAAGAAGUCAAUGUAAACAACAAAUAUUGAAUAAAUAAUAGUCCAGGUGAUACACAAAGUUGGAAAAUACUACAACACCUACCAUUAAGAAAUUAUUACCAAAUAGGUUG